rnacentral:lncRNA from 10 species
CAGAAUCUGUGGCCAUCUUGAACCUGCCUCAGAGGCCAUGACAUCACGAAUUCUGUUAAAGACAUGACCAUCUCAUUUCCUGCCAGGUCUGGACCCUCAAUUCCUUCACUUGAAUGUGAGUCAGCCUCAUGAGGACAGUUGCAUUUGCCUCCCGCCUAUUCUCAUGCCUAUGAUCACUCCUUUCACAACUAUUAACUCAUCUCACACAGC